GACGAACGCUGGCGGCGUGCUUAACACAUGCAAGUCGAACGGAAAGGCCCUGCUUUUGUGGGGUGCUCGAGUGGCGAACGGGUGAGUAACACGUGAGUAACCUGCCCUUGACUUUGGGAUAACUUCAGGAAACUGGGGCUAAUACCGGAUAGGAGCUCCUGCUGCAUGGUGGGGGUUGGAAAGUUUCGGCGGUUGGGGAUGGACUCGCGGCUUAUCAGCUUGUUGGUGGGGUAGUGGCUUACCAAGGCUUUGACGGGUAGCCGGCCUGGGAGGGUGACCGGCCACAUGGGGACUGAGGUACGGCCCAGACUCCUACGGGAGGCAGCAGUGGGGAAUAUUGCACAAUGGGCGGAAGCCUGAUGCAGCAACGCCGCGUUCGGGAUGACGGCCUUCGGGUUGUAAACCGCUUUCGCCUGUGACGAAGCGUGAGUGACGGUAAUGGGUAAAGAAGCACCGGCUAACUACGUG
rnacentral:rRNA from 1 species